CAAGACCUGCGCUUUUGGAGCGGCCGAUGCCUGAUUAGCUUGUUGGUAAGGUAAAAGCUUACCAAGGCUUCGAUCAGUAGCUGGUCUGAGAGGACGGCCAGCCACACUGGGACUGAGACACGGCCCAGGCUCCUACGGGAGGCAGCAGUGGGGAAUUUUGGACAAUGGGGGCAACCCUGAUCCAGCCAUGCCGCGUGAGUGAAGAAGGCCUUCGGGUUGUAAAGCUCUUUCAGCCGGAACGAAACGGUUACGGUUAAUACCCGUGACUACUGACGGUACCGGAAGAAGAAGCACCGGCUAACUACGUGCCAGCAGCCGCGGUAAUACGUAGGGUGCGAGCGUUAAUCGGAAUUACUGGGCGUAAAGCGUGCGCAGGUGGUUUUGUAAGUCAGAUGUGAAAGCCCCGGGCUCAACCUGGGAACU
rnacentral:rRNA from 1 species